UAAAUAAGAAACGAGAUAAAUAAAUGAUAAUAUAUACACACGAUCGAAUCCUGUUAACAGACUCCAUUAUAUCCAUCCAACCAACUGGAUUAAUACAGCCCUCUAAUCGUCCCACCAUAAAUGAAACGUAUAACGAGCCGUGGACAAUUCGCAGCGUGAAAUCAUCCUUUUUUAAAAGCACCUGUAUCCUUCGGGCCUUAAGGCCCCAUGACUACCACCACCAGCGGACCAAACUCUAUAUCUUCCUCUUAAGCGAGGGGUAAGUAUGUAGUAAAAGUUUCACAGUGUCUACCCUGAGAUAACUUGGAGCAUAUAGAAAGUCCUCUCCUAGUAAAAGUAUCUAGGUACAUAUAUAUAUACGUAUACCCAUACACAAAAAGACAGGUACAUGCCUAUAGUACGUACACCGUAGUUCCUUCUCAAAUCCUGCAGAUCCCAUGAGCUCCCAGGAGGCUAAGUAAUGCCUAAUGUUCCCGGGGGAUAAGGGCAUAAAAAUUUGUUUUGUUUUUUCGGACGGCCGCAUUCCAACGGCACCUGAUUGCCACGAGCGAGAGCGGAACCCCACUCGGGGUGGUCCGAAUAGCUUGGGACGAUCCUGGGGCCCCCGAUGCUCUUGCUCACCGGAGAGCCAGAAGAAGAAGAGGAGUAGAGUUUUGUUUUUUACUCCCUUCCUAUACGGUCUCAUACCAUAUACCUCCCUCACAGAACCCUCUCUAUACUGUAUACACGGAGGAGGAUACUCCAGUGACGUAUAUAUACGCUCUUACGGGUCCACAAAUACAGACUCCAUUGGAAACAGUCUCUUCUUAGCUGAUCUUCUCAUCUUCGUUACUCCUCGUGGGUACCACCCUCCCUAGAAGCUGGGACCCCCGUGAGAAGGCUGAUGGAGGGGGAAGAAUGAGUGAGUGAGCGAGAGAGAGAGAGAGAAAGAGAGAGAGAGAGAGAGAGAGAAAGAGAGAGAGAGAAAAGGAGAAACAAAAAAAAGAAGAAGGAAAUGCGCCCGCGGCGAACGCGCGGGCCCCCAAGUUGAGACAUUUUUACCUGGGAUAGGGUACCACGGCCUGACUCCACGGGAAAGAGAGAUAUUGACUCAUCUCUCUAUCCUCCUGGUACUUCUUCUUCUUCUUCCUCUUAAACCUUCCUCCUCGUACUCCUGGGAACUGAGGGACCCACCCGGUGAAACUUUCUGGUAAUAUAUGGACCGCGCUCUGGUACUCACGUCUGUACAACUGUCCGGACUGUGGAUAGAUUCUUAGAUGGAUAGAUAAAUAAAUGGAUGGCUUUCGUUGGGUGAUAUAUAUAUAUAUAUAUAUUCACUAUGGGUGGCACAGUUGGUACCCAUGCAAACUAGGGAACUUAAUAGAAUUUGGCAAAAUAGCUCAAUUUUCAUAUUCACGGCUACACUGAUGGUCUUCAGUAGUUUUUUAACCUGCAAUAUUUUUCCCUCUCACUGAAUCACCAUGUUCAACAUCUGUCACUCUUGCCGCAACCGUGUCAGACGUGAUAUAAACUGUCGAAGAAAAAUAUUUAGACGUUUAAACCAAUUUUGUUUUUCCCCUAUACUUUGCCUAGGGAUUUUUGACGUUUACUAACUAGAUCGGCGUGGACCUAGAUACCGCGCGACCUUCCGUCGCGUAUGCAUUGCGCAAUUGUAAAUACACAUACCAGGAAGAGCAUUCUCAAACGAACAAGAGUCAACUGAUCGGAAUAACAAUGUAUAAGGUUUAAUGAAAAUAAUGUCGAUACACUCGAGAUAAAGAAAGCAGAAGCCCAUCUUCUUUCAAUCGCUUACCAUCAGUAUCGACCAGCUGGGAUCACGUAUGGGCUAGUGAUGACUGUACCUUCCUCGCGGAGCUGAGAGGUAACUGGCCCAAAAGGACCCAACAACCUGGCACGCCGUUACUACAGGCGCCAUUGUAAAAUCCUUUGUGAGACAUGAGAAAUGAGAAAAUCAUUAGCCCAGGGCACUUUUACAUAGAGAUUAGUAAAUUGAAAGAAUGGCAGUGUAUGGCGACUUAAAAUAAAAAUCACAACAACCAGUGAUUAUGGCGUCGCAAGAGGAAGUUUACAGAGAGUCAUUGUAAAGAUACGUGCCACUUUCAUUAAUACUGUACAUCAACUACACAGAGUCGUACAAAGAUACGUGCUGUGCGUAUCGGCCUUGCGAUAGGUCAUAUCGUUCAUUGGAAACCCGCGAAAGCAUCAUUCAUUGACAGCGAAACAAGAGGAGCCAUAGAAAAGAGUAUCUUGGAAAUACGUAUACAUAAAUGAUUCGAGUGAGGUUGAAUCAUCGGUGUUCACGUUAGAAUCGGCAAGUAAAAAGAGGUGCAAGAAAAUGCAAAAAUAAAGAAGAAAAUCGUAUUGAGCGAUGGUAACAUGUAAACAAGUGGUAAACAACGUAAAUAUAAAC